UCCCUGGUGGUCCAGUGGCUAAGACUCUGCCCUUUCAAUACAGAGGGCCUGGAUUCAAUCCCUGGUCAGGGAA
rfam:Ovis aries breed Texel chromosome 5, whole genome shotgun sequence.